AACGAACGCUGGCGGCAUGCCUAACACAUGCCAGUCGAACGAGACCUUCGGGUCUAGUGGCGCACGGGUGCGUAACGCGUGGGAACCUGCCCUUAGGUUCGGAAUAACUCCCCGAAAGGGGUGCUAAUACCGGAUAAUGUCUUCGGACCAAAGAUUUAUCGCCUUUGGAUGGGCCCGCGUUGGAUUAGCUAGUUGGUAGGGUAAAAGCCUACCAAGGCGACGAUCCAUAGCUGGUCUGAGAGGAUGAUCAGCCACACUGGGACUGAGACACGGCCCAGACUGCUACGGGGGGGAGCAGUAGAGAAUAUUAGACAAUGGGCGAAAGCCUGGUCAAGCAGUGCCGGGUGAGAGAUGAAGGCCUUAGGAUUGUAAAGCUCUUUUAGCCGGGAUGAGAAUGACAGUACCGGGUGAAGAAGCUCCGGCUAACUACGUG
rnacentral:rRNA from 1 species